UGAGCGAUUUAGACAGCUUGAACCUGCUUGAGCGUCUUGACCGAAUUCGGACACUAGAGAAGCUAGGCUUGAACGAAUUCGGAUACUAAGGUAGCAUGACUUGAGCGUAUUCGGUCAAUAAGGAAGAUAGACUUGAGCGUUUUCGAUCAAUAAGAAAGAUAGACUUGAGCGAUUUCGGUCACAUGAUGAGCGAUUUAUCUCUUUAAGGUGAGCGAUUUAGAUCAAUGCUUUGAGCGGAUAUUGAGCGAUUAAAACCAUAAGGUGAGCGAUUUAUUUUUGUGAGGUGAGCGAUUUAGGACAUCAAUUGAUUGGAUUUUGACCGGAUUUUUUUAAUCAAACAAAGCUUAGUCGUUUUUGCUUGGUAAUCGAUUACAGUGUGUAUAUCGUUCACUGUAUACCUUUCGAACAUGAGAUUUUAAUCGUACAUUCAUCGCAUAGCUCUUUUCUCACAGCCUGUUUGAUUGAAGACAGCUUGUGCGAAAUUUGGUCACUAGGGGAAUUCAGCAUGAGCGAAUUAUCUCUUUAAGGUGAGCGAUUUCAGAUUUAGCGAUUUAGAGAAGUCUGAUUUGAGCGAAAUUUGGUCACUAGAGGAAUUCAGCUUGAGCGAAUUCGUACAUACAGGUUUCAAGGUUGCUUCUGUUAAAUCGAUUUUAAUUUGUUUCAAAGGGUCUGGUAAAUCGCCUGUUUUGUUUUGGGUUCAUCGCACAUUUAUUGCACAUCAUCUGUUUUUCAAGGUAUUCACAGGUGAUUUGUUUUGCGGGCUUUUGACUGUGUUUGUGGUUAACAUUACAGUAGCUUACAUUACAGUAGCUAUUGAUUUCUCAUUAUUUGCACUUGAGCUGCAUUCAAGUUUUGUGAAGGAUCCAGAGUGCAACUAUUACUGUUUUUAUCUUCUAUUACUGUUGGUAAUUUCAUUGCUUGGCAUUUCGCAUAGUUUGUAAAUUGGGUUUUUGCCUUUCAUAGCUCAAAAGUCUGUUGUUUUAAAUUGUACCUGGCUGUUAUUUGAGAUUUUGAAAAGAGAAAUAAAUGUAUAUCAGCUUCAGUGGUAUGGCUACUGCUUGUUCAUAAACAGGAAGUUUUUGAUUUAAUGUAAAUCUGUUUGAGAGACUACUGGGUUCUUGAUUUUGAUGCUGCAAUGCUAGUAGGCAGCCUCCUGUAGAUACUACUUGACAGCAGAUCUAUUUCUGCUUGAGAAUUGAGUGAUAUCCUUGAUAGUAGCAAUCUGUAUUAGAGGGUGGCAGAACUGAGUGAUAUCCUUGAUAGUAGCAAUCUGUCCUUGCUGCUGCUGCUGGUGUUGGUGAUCAACAUUUCCAGUAUUAUGGUGCAUGGUAUGGCUCUGUUCCUGGUUUGAAAGUGCUUGUACCUUCCUCUGUUAUUGUAGAUCUUAGAUGAUGAUGCAGAAUUAGCUGUUACAAGGCUCAAGACCUGUUUGGUUGACCAAAGGCACAGGAUGGUUAAGAAUCUGACAGUUGAUACGGAUAGUUGAAACUCAUCCAUUUUUGGUGUGAUUCUGUUAUUAAAGGACUUAUUUGACUGUUGUCUAUCAUCUCCAUUAUUUUUAGACUGAGCAAGCACAAAAGUUCUAUAGCGUUGAAGAGAGUGAAGUGAAACAAUUUUAGUUGUUUCUGGUUGAAUAAAGACAACCGAAUUGUUUCAUUGAUACGAGAAUUAGAAGAGGAGUGAGCUGCUCGAUCUGCAUUUUUGUUCAACAGAUCAUCUCACCUGUUUACAAUUUCAGCAGAUUGGUCAGGCUAAGAAGACUGUUGGUGGAGUUUUGACUCUGCUUCAUCUCAAGAAUAUAAAAAAAUUAUGUUUCGUGAAGUAUUGAGUUUACUUUAUGGACAUGAGCUGUUUUGUUUUUCCUGGGACAAACCUUUAUCUGUAUUCUAGUUCAUCUAUGUCUUAUCGAUAAAUCUGUUAUCUGUAGUUCUCUGUGUUUAAGACUUUGAAUCGUUGAAGUGUAAAUCAAAGGUU